rnacentral:sRNA from 1 species
CAGGCGACAGCACUGCAGACGCCAUUAUCCUCUGUUUCUCUGCUGCACCGACCUCGACGUCUUGCCUGUGUCCCACUUGUUCGCGGCCUAUAGGCUACUGCAGCACUGGGGUGUCAGUUGUUGGUCCGACCCAGAACGCUUCAGUUCUGCUCUGCAAGGAUAUAUAAUAACUGAUUGGUGUGCCCGUUUAAUAAAAGAAUAUGGAAACUGAACAGCCAGAAGAAACCUUCCCUAACACUGAAACCAAUGGUGAAUUUGGUAAACGCCCUGCAGAAGAUAUGGAAGAGGAACAAGCAUUUAAAAGAUCUAGAAACACUGAUGAGAUGGUUGAAUUACGCAUUCUGCUUCAGAGCAAGAAUGCUGGGGCAGUGAUUGGAAAAGGAGGCAAGAAUAUUAAGGCUCUCCGUACAGACGUAAGUAUUAAGAGUUUAAAACUACUACACGAGCAGCUUCAGUUUAUAUGUCUAUAGAAAUUUAAAGAUUUACAUCCUAGAAAUCAUUUCAUAGUUUAGCUACAAAGACAUUUGUAAUAAUUUAUUAUUACAGAAUUGAUUUCGAAGUUAUCCAUUCCUGUUUUAACAAAAGCCCAGAUUGAGCAGGGUGGGGGGGUGGUUUCUUUUAAACCUCUUCACAUUUUAAUAAGAGUCCACCAAAUUAUUCACUUCAUCAAGCAAGAUAACAUCUUAAUUAGAAAUAGCGACAAAGUGUAAAAAUCCUUGAUUGCACCAUUUCCUGUGUGUGAAUCAAUUACAGUAUUACUGAAAACCAUUGCAGGUGGCUGGUUAAAUCCAGAAAAAUUUUUUUGUUUUCUUUGGGAAGAAAAAUGUCCAUCUGUUCUUUAACAGCUUGCACAUGGAGCACAAAGAAUUUAAUGUUGAGGUUGCAUGAUUUAAAUAUGGGU